rnacentral:lncRNA from 1 species
GUGAAAAUGCCUACCUUAUAGGGUUGGUGUGAGGAUAGGUGAGUUCAUAUACAGAAAACACUGUCACAUAGAAGGUACUGCCAGAGAGUUUGCCAUCAUUAUUAUUAUGGUCACCAUUGUUAUUGUUUUCUGCCCUGGGAAACCUCUUGAAUAGGGAAUCUGUUAGAGCCUGAAUGCACUUUACAUGAGCCCCAAAGAAGGUCUAAGGACCCAGGGAAAAUAAAAUUGAGAAGAAGUAGAAGGAGAGUAAAGCUCCUAUGCAGAUUUUCUUGGACAGAUUUUCACUGUUUUUGAAAGCUUUUCACACUAUUCCACCACAUUCUACCUUACCUGUAACCCUUAUCAAAAUGCCCUGACCCAUUGAACCAGGCUGCUUCCAAGCACAUUCAAACCCUGCCUUUAGCCCAAUAUUUUGAAGCAACAUUGGCUACAACAACAUUUGGCCCUUCUCUCUCUUAGUUAUUGUGGGUUUUUCUCAGAAUAUUUUAGAUGAUUUUAGAUUUAGAUUUAGAUUUUAGAUGUGCCCUUCCUUUUGGCAUAUGACAGGGUUACACCUCUCGCCCACCUUGGGGGGUUGGUUGGGGUUAAGUGACUAGUUCUGGCCAAUGAGUUGUGAAAGCCAGUGAAGUGUAUCACUUGCAGGCUGAAGCAUUUAAUGGCCGGUGCAGUUGGAGAGGGCAACAGUUCCAUCAGCCUGCAUCCCUCAGUGGCUUUCAUAAUUGAAUGGUAUAUGUGGUAUGACUCUGUUUAUGUUACUAAAUAUAUAUUAUAUUCAUAAAACUUCUGGAAGGAUAUUCACUAAGCCCAUAGUAGUGGCUCUGUCUAUGGGGGUAAGAUUGCCGGGGUGCAGGGAGGAACUCUUCCACUUUCUAGUGUCUUGCUGGACUUCUUAUAAGAAGCAUUCAUUAUCUGUGUGAUAGUAGUAGUAAUGGCUAUUGUUCAUUGAGCACUUACGAAGUGCCAAGGAUGCCGCUAAGUUCAUGUGACAAUCUUCACAAUGUAACACCAGGAAGAAGGGUUUUUUUUGUUUGCUUGUUUGUUUUUGUUUUUUGUUUUUUAUCAUCCCUAUUUAAUGAAGAGAAAAUGGAAGAACAGAGAGGUUAAGUAAUUUGUCCCAAGUCACAGAGCUACGAAGUGUCAGACUCGGGAUUUGAACCCAGUUAGUUUAGCUACAUGAUGCGUGCUCUUAGUCACUGCACUACAAUCUAAAUAAUACUGAUUCUUUUUUUUUUUUUUUUU